rnacentral:rRNA from 1 species
AGAGUUUGAUCAUGGCUCAGAACAAACGCUGGCGGCGUGUCUUAAGCAUGCAAGUCGAGCGGCAAGGCGGGGCGACCCGCCCUAGAGCGGCGGACUGGUGAGUAACGCGUGGGUAAUCUACCUUGGGCAUGGGGAUAGCCAUUAGAAAUAGUGGGUAAUACCGAAUACGCUCGCGGGGGGAAGGGUCCUGUGAGGAAAGGGUGCUACGGCACCCGCCUGAGAUGAGCUCGCGUCCCAUUAGCUAGUUGGUGAGGUAAGGGCCCACCAAGGCGAUGAUGGGUAGCCGGCCUGAGAGGGUGUACGGCCACACUGGGACUGAGAUACGGCCCAGACUCCUACGGGAGGCAGCAGCUAAGAAUAUUCCGCAAUGGACGAAAGUCUGACGGAGCGACGCCGCGUGGAUGAAGAAGGCCGAAAGGUUGUAAAGUUCUUUUGCGAGGGAAGAAUAACCGCAGGAGGGAAUGCCUGUGGGAUGACAUGAACUUGCGAAUAAGCCCCGACCAACUACGUGCCAGCAGCCGCGGUAACACGUAGGGGGCGAGCGUUGUUCGGAAUUACUGGGCGUAAAGGGCAUGUAGGCGGUCUGGUAAGCCUGGCGUGAAAGACCACAGCUUAACUGUGGGGUUGCGUUGGGAACUGCUGGGCUUGAGUGACGGAGAGGGAGCUGGAAUUCCUGGUGUAGGGGUGAAAUCUGUAGAUAUCAGGAAGAACACCGAUGGCGAAGGCAAGCUCCUGGCCGAUGACUGACGCUGAGGUGCGAAAGUGUGGGGAUCAAACAGGAUUAGAUACCCUGGUAGUCCACACGGUAAACGAUGUGCACUAGGUGCUGGGGCGGUAGCCUCGGUGCCGGAGCGAACGUGGUAAGUGCACCGCCUGGGGAGUAUGCUCGCAAGGGUGAAACUCAAAGGAAUUGACGG